rnacentral:rRNA from 1 species
UUCGCAAUGCCCGAAAGGGUGACGAAGCGACGCCGCGUGUGGGAAGAAGGCCUUCGGGUUGUAAACCACUGUCGGGAGUUAGGAAAUGCAGGUGCGUUAAUAGCGCACUUGCUUGACUAAGGCUCCAGAGGAAGCCACGGCUAACUCUGUGCCAGCAGCCGCGGUAAUACAGAGGCGGCAAGCGUUGUUCGGAAUUAUUGGGCGUAAAGAGCACGUAGGCGGCCUUGCAAGUCAGUUGUGAAAGCCUUCCGCUUAACGGAAGAACGGCAUCUGAUACUACAGGGCUUGAGUACGGGAGGGGAGAGUGGAACUUCUGGUGGAGCGGUGAAAUGCGUAGAUAUCAGAAGGAACGCCGGCGGCGAAAGCGACUCUCUGGUCCGAAACUGACGCUGAGUGUGCGAAAGCUAGGGGAGCAAACGGGAUUAGAUACCCCGGUAGUCCUAGCCGUAAACGAUGGGCACUAA